rnacentral:rRNA from 1 species
GAACGCGAAAGUCCCGCAAGGGACCGGUAGAGUGGCAAACGGGUGAGUAACACGUGGGUGACCUGCCUUCGAGUGGGGGAUAACGUCCCGAAAGGGACGCUAAUACCGCAUAACAUCCUGUUUUUGAACAGAUGGAGAUCAAAGCUGGGGAUCGCAAGACCCGGCGCUUGAAGAGGGGCCCGCGUCCGAUUAGCUAGUUGGUGGGGUAAUGGCUCACCAAGGCUCCGAUCGGUAUCCGGCCUGAGAGGGCGGACGGACACACUGGGACUGAGACACGGCCCAGACUCCUACGGGAGGCAGCAGUGGGGAAUUGUUCGCAAUGGGCGCAAGCCUGACGACGCAACGCCGCGUGGAGGAUGAAGAUCUUCGGGUCGUAAACUCCUUUCGAUCGAGACGAACGGCCUCCGGGUGAACAUCCUGGGGGAGUGACGGUACCGAGAGAAGAAGCCCCGGCUAACUCCGUG